UAAGACGAACCGUGCGAACGUUGUUCGGAAUCAUUGGGCUUAAAGGGCGCGUAGGCGGGUGUUCAAGUCCGGGGUGAAAUCCUCCAGCUCAACUGGAGAAGAGCCCCGGAUACUGUUCAUCUAGAGAGAGGUAGGGGCACAUGGAACUUCCGGUGGAGCGGUGAAAUGCGUAGAGAUCGGAAGGAACGCCGGUGGCGAAAGCGAUGUGCUGGAUCUUUUCUGACGCUGAGGCGCGAAAGCUAGGGGAGCAAACGGG
rnacentral:rRNA from 1 species